CAGCCGCCGCGGUAAUACCGGCGGCCCGAGUGGCGGUCACUAUUAUUGGGCUUAAAGCGUCCGUAGCCGGGUUGGGAAGUCCUCCGGGAAAUCUGGCCGCUUAACGGUCAGAAUGCCGGAGGAUACUCCCAGCCUAGGGAGCGGGAGAGGCCGAGGGGAUUCCCGGGGUAGGGGUGAAAUCCUAUAAUCCCGGGCGGACCACCGGUGGCGAAGGCGCUCGGCUGGAACGCGUCCGACGGUGAGGGACGAAGGCCAGGGGAGCAAACCGGAUUAGAUACCCGGGUAGUCCUGGCUGUAAACGAUGCGGACUUUGUGUCGGACAAGCUAUGAGCUUGUCCGGUGCCGGAGGGAAACCGUUAAGUCCGCCGCCUGGGGAGUACGGCCGCAAGGCUGAAACUUAAAGGAAUUGGCGGG
rnacentral:rRNA from 1 species